CUGUCUUCACCGAUGUUACGGUCAGUCGAAAACUUUUUCUCUUUCUUUUCCAUGCUCCUAAUGGAUUUUGACACUAGUUGUUCAUGCAAAUGUGCACAGGAGGAUAUGACCAUAGCGAAAGACGAGAUCUUCGGUCCGGUAAUGUCACUCAUGAAGUUCAAGUACGUAUUUUACGAGACGUUCAUUACAUUUCCAUGUACAUACAUAUGAA
rnacentral:lncRNA from 1 species